UUCCUGAGAUUUCUCUCUCAUUAGACAGUCCCUCUUCCCUUCCUGAGAUUCCUCUCUCACUAAACCGUCCCUCUUCCCUCCCUUCAACAGCCCGCUGCAGCGGCAGCCCCUGAGCUCUUGGGCUCCCUUCCUUAAAUAAUCUUUCUUGCUCCAAGGUCCUCCCCCUCCCCUCCCCUCUGGCUGCCGCCUCUCUGAGCUGAGCCAAGCCGGCUCAGCUGUGUUUCGGGCGCAGCCAGGUCUCUGCUCUUUCCCCACUUCCACAUUCCUGGCUGCUGGCUGGAUGCAAGGUCUCCCCCAUGGCGACGCGUCUCUUUCCCGAUCGCUGGCACUUCAUUGAUAUGCAUAAUGCACAACACUAAUUGACACACAGGAAAAAUAUGGGCAGAAGGACAUAGGAAAUGGUAGAAAGAUGGAUUCAUGUAAUGCAAGCGAGAAGAAAAGAAAUCAAAAGAAGUAUAUUUGAGCCAGAUCAGCAGGCUUCUGAAAGCUAACAGCAUCCCUACUAAAAUGCCUUCUUUCCUGGGGUGCCAUACAGUCUAUUAGCCAUCUCCAGAAGCUGGACUGAAUGCAAGAAUGAGGAUACAAUGAUAACAAUGACUGGCAAAGGAGAAAGCUUUCUUUAUGAGGAAGGAGAGAGCAAAUUUGCAGCCUGGUGGAUAUUGUGUGACUGGAAAAUCAAUGCACAAAAUACAUUUUCUAACACUGGAGGAUCAACAGGUUAGAGAUACCCAGAAGAACUAAAUAUCUCAAGAGAAUCUUCAGGCAAAAGGAUGUGAUCAAUAUUUUAACUUGAGCCCACCUGUGUUUUUAUUGACAAAACUGCUUUGCCUUUUACAAUAAAAUCUCCCUUUCUUCUCUAUCAAAUGCUUGAGAGAUUCACUUAAAAGAGAAAAAAGAAAUGGCAAAGUCAGUCUUCAGGAGGAAGCCUUUCUAAGGUCUGAACUGGUGAGAAGAUCAGCAAGUGUAUCACUUCCAACACUUGCAAAUUUAAUGAAGAACUUCACAGAGAAAACACAAUGGAAAGUAUCUAUGGAUACCAAAUAAAACCUUCCCCCCUGCAAAGAUGUUUAUAAUUUAUACCCCUUUAAAACACUAGCGAAUAAAGUUGCCUUGCAGUGUCUUCUGAACA